AGCGAACGCUGGCGGCAGGCCUAAUACAUGCAAGUCGAACGAAGCCUUCGGGCUUAGUGGCGGACGGGUGAGUAACACGUGGGAACGUACCCUUUGGUUCGGAACAACUCAGGGAAACUUGAGCUAAUACCGAAUGUGCCCCCAUCCUUAACAAGAUGGGUGGGAAAGAUUUAUCACCAUUGGAGCGGCCCGCGUCUGAUUAGCUAGUUGGUGAGGUAAAGGCCCACCAAGGCUACGAUCAGUAGCUGGUCUGAGAGGAUGAUCAGCCACACUGGGACUGAGACACGGCCCAGACUCCUACGGGAGGCAGCAGUAGGGAAUCUUGCGC
rnacentral:rRNA from 1 species